GCCAGCAAGUGCAGCCCCAGCAAUUCAGUUGGCUGAGGAGGGAGGAUUGCUUGAGCCCAGGAGUUCUAGGAUGUAGUGUGCUAUUCCAAUUGGGUGUCCGCACUAAGUUUGACAUCAAUAUAGUGACCACCUGAGAGUAGGGGACCACCGCGUUGCCCAAGGAGGGGUCAACCGGCUCAGGUUGGAAAUGGUGCAGGUGAAAACUCCUGCACUGAUCAGUAGUGGGAUUGCAUCUGUGAACAGCCACUGCACUCCAGCCUCAGCAGCAUAGUCAGAACCCUGUCUUU
ensembl:misc_RNA Metazoa_SRP Metazoan signal recognition particle RNA